rnacentral:rRNA from 1 species
UCUCAAAGAUUAAGCCAUGCAUGUCUAGGUACGAGCCUCCGUACAAAGCGAAACUGCGAAUGGCUCAUUAAAUCAGUUAUGGUUCCUUUGAUCGUUACCCCUUACUCGGAUAACUGUGGUAAUUCUAGAGCUAAUACGUGCGAAUGAGCGCCGACCUCGCGGGAGGCGUGCUUUUAUUAGGACCAAGACCAAUCCGGGCCUUCCUGGCCCGGUCCCACUGGCGAAUUCUGGAUAACUUGGCGGAUCGCACGGCCUUUGCGCCGGCGACGAGUCUUUCGAGUGUCUGCCCUAUCAACUUUCGAUGGUACGUUAUGCGCCUACCAUGGUUGUAACGGGUAACGGGGAAUCAGGGUUCGAUUCCGGAGAGGGAGCCUGAGAAACGGCUACCACAUCCAAGGAAGGCAGCAGGCGCGCAAAUUACCCAUUCCCGACACGGGGAGGUAGUGACGAAAAAUAACAAUACAGGACUCUUUCGAGGCCCUGUAAUUGGAAUGAGUACACUUUAAAACCUUUAACGAGGAUCGAUUGGAGGGCAAGUCUGGUGCCAGCAGCCGCGGUAAUUCCAGCUCCAAUAGCGUAUAUUAAAGCUGUUGCAGUUAAAAAGCUCGUAGUUGGAUCUUGGGCCUAGGCUGG